ensembl:snRNA U6 U6 spliceosomal RNA
GUGCUCGCUUUGGCAGCGCAUAUACUAAAUUUGGAAUGAUACAGAGAAGAUUAGCAUGGCCUCUGUGCAAGGAUAAUAUGCAAAUUCAUGAAGUGUUCUAUAUUUUU